UACGUAGGGGGCAAGCGUUGUCCGGAAUCAUUGGGCGUAAAGCGCGCGUAGGCGGUCCGGUAAGUCCGCUGUGAAAGUCAAGGGCUCAACUCUGGGAUGCCGGUGGAUACUGUCGGACUAGAGUACGGAAGAGGCGAGUGGAAUUCCCGGUGUAGCGGUGAAAUGCGCAGAUAUCGGGAGGAACACCAAUUGCGAAGGCAGCUCGCUGGGACGUUACUGACGCUGAGACGCGAAAGCGUGGGGAGCAAACAGG
rnacentral:rRNA from 1 species